GACGAACGCUGGCGGCGUGCCUAUUACAUGCAAGUAGGACGCAGUUGCGACCGGGUGAGUAACGCGUAGGUCACUGCCUAUUAGAGGGGGAUAACUAUUGGAAACGAUAGCUAAUACCGCAUACUAGUAGAUGGACAUGCGUUGUAUUAGCUCGUAGGUCGGGUAAUGGCCUACCUAGGCGACGAUACAUAGCCGACCGGAGGGGGGGAUCGGAGCGAGGUGGAAUGAGACAAGGCCGAGCAUCCUACGGGAGGCAGCAGUAGGGAUUCGUCGGCAAUGGGAGGAGCCCUGAGCGAGCAACGCCGCGUGAGUGAAGAAGGUUGUCGGAUCGUAAAGCUCUGUGGGUAAGGAAGCGGUACUUAACAAGAAAGGGACAGAUAACUACGUGACAGCAGCCGCGGUAAUAC
rnacentral:rRNA from 1 species